UCGCAGCACUCAGCGCCGGAGCCGGGAGCCCGCGGCCGCCGCCAUGUCCCACCAGACCGGCAUCCAAGGAAGGCAGCCAAAUUUCAGUGCUUAACAAUAUUUAUGACUGAAUUAAAUCACACUUGCUGUAAGUUAAACACCUUGCUUUUUAAUGUUCCUGCUUGCACUCAUUUUAAAAUGUGAUUUCCUAUUUACUUCAAGGCUCGUCUACAGACUAUAUCCUGUCUGCAAAAGCCUCUGGGAUUUGGGCUUUCCUCCAUGAACCAUAUUACUAUGAUUCUGUGAAAAGCACACUUGAGCAUUGGAUAAUAUUUUGGUAAUUCUGCUUCUUAUUGAUCAUAAGUCAUCUGAUUUCCAUGAACUUUGGAGAUACGAACUACGAUACUCACUAUCGAAAAGAACCAACCAACCAAACAAUAAACACUUAAAAAUGGAUGUUGAUGCUUGGAAAGAAUAGAAUCUCUUGGCAUGUCAGAAAGUUCUCCUUCGUAAUAUCAUGGAGAAGUGACUCUGUGCCUUGUGAAGCUACUUCAUCACUUUCGGGGAUCCUUAUAAGACGAAUAUUGAUUUUCUUCAAAUUAUUGGUUUUGGCACACUGGAGCCUUGGGCUGUUGCCCUGGGUAGAGUGCCGUGGCAUCACAGCUCAUAGCAACCUCAAACACCUGGGCUGGGCACCGCCCAGACCUCCAUAAGAGUUGUGCCAUGACCCCCGACCUGCGAUCCGUGACUGCCAGGCCUCCGCAUGCCCUGACCAGGAACUUUGGGAGCCACACAACACUGCAUCCUCCCUCUGGUAUCCUCCCUGCCUCCAUACCAGCCCACUCAUCUGGCCAGGGACUCUGGUAGCCGUGUGCCCUCCAGAGCCUUCCCUGCCUCUGCAUAGAGCCCUUCUCCUGGCCAGAGACUGCUGGAGCCUUGGGCUAUCUGUGCCAAAGUCACUGGGUGCCAGGCACUCCCAGAACCAUGCACACCACCUCCCGCCCUGUUGCUGGAUCCAGGUGUGCUACACUCCGGAGCUGUUUCCACAACCAGAAUUCCCUGGCUGGGGCAGCCCCAGAGGAACUACACAGGGUCACUCCCUAUAAAGAUCCAGCAACAAUAAAGUGAUCAUGCUGGGGUCUUAUCUUGGAGAGAUACCUCCCCAACUCUGAGGACAGCCAGAAGCAAUGGUGAAAAACAAUCAUGAGGUGAAAUCAAUGGAAAAACUCUGGCAAUGUGAAUAAUCAGAUUUGGUCAACUCCCCCAAGUAUCAAUGGGGCAGCACAAGAUCUCAUGCACAAACAAAUAGCUGAGAUGUUAGAAAUUGAAUUCAGAAUCUGGAUAGCAAAUAAGAUCGAAUUAGAAUUCCAAGCAGUAACCCAAAAGAUAUCUCAAGAAUACAAUGAAUUCAAAGACCAAAUGACCCAAGAUUUUCACACGUUGAGACAAGAAGUUGCAGCCCUCAAAGAUCUGAGAAACAGUAGAAUCCCUCAGUAACAGAAUGGAGCAAACAGAAGAAAGGAUUUCUGACAUUGAAGACAAAGCUUUCGAACGCUCCCAAACUCUCAAAGAGGAAGAGAAAUGGAGGGCAAAAACAGAUUAGAUGGUUUUUUUAAUUGACUCACAACAACAACAACAAAAAUACCUAAGUCCAAAUUCCAUUUUCACCUAUUGCUGGCUUAGUGAUACUGGAUAAAUUAUCUCAGCUUUAUCUGAGCUUUAUCUGAAGCUCACAUUUUUCAGCUUCAUCUGUAAUUUUAAAUACUAAACACGAUUCUUCUUCAGAUUGAAUGAAGUAAUAUAUUUGCCCAAAGAAAGAGAAAUUUUCCUCCAAUGAAUAUCAAAUGUAAUUUCAAGAAACUUGGUUACAAUGAUGUCUCAAGGAGACUGUACAUUUUCUCUUCCCUUGGACGUAUACACAUAUAUUAGUAAAUUGCUCUUCUCACAUCUUACUAUUCUUUAAAUGCUUUCAAAUAACUGGUUGUCUAAUUCAGUUCAUUCUAAAAUUCUUAUUAUCUAGUCCUCUCCCCUUUCUCCCCCUUGUCAUACAUUCUGAUUGUAGCUGGGACACUCAACUCACCAGAAAGAGAGCACAUGUUCAUGCUUCAAGACACGCCAAGCAUAUCGCAAUUCAACUGGCAAAUGUAACUCAAGAACAGAGGGUUGUCAGAGCUGGGAAGAAAUCUGGUAGCAAUAUUUAUGUCUGAAGCAACUCACAAAAGAUGAAACUGAGGCCCAGAAAAUUAAAUCAUCUGUUUACAUCACACAAAUAUGUUAGCAAACUUUAAGAGUGAUGACUCAAAGUGAUUCUAAUUGGUAAUAGGAAUAUAACUAACAUAAGCUAAAUUCCCACCAAAAUGUUAUAAACUAUGAAUAAAA